UACGGAGGGUGCAAGCGUUAUCCGGAUUCACUGGGCUUAAAGGGUGCGUAGGCGGGCAGGUAAGUCAGUGGUGAAAUCUCCGGGCUCAACCCGGAAACUGCCAUUGAUACUAUUAGUCUUGAAUUUUGUUGAGGUAGGCGGAAUAAGUCAUGUAGCGGUGAAAUGCUUAGAUAUGACUUAGAACACCAAUUGCGAAGGCAGCUUGCUAAACAAACAUUGACGCUGAGGCACGAAAGCGUGGUGAUCAAACAGG
rnacentral:rRNA from 1 species